GACGAACGCUGGCGGCGUGCUUAACACAUGCAAGUCGAACGAUGAAGCCUUUCGGGGUGGAUUAGUGGCGAACGGGUGAGUAACACGUGGGUAAUCUGCCCUGCACUCUGGGAUAAGCCCGGGAAACUGGGUCUAAUACCGGAUAUGACUUUCUUACGCAUGUAGGAAGGUGGAAAGUUACCGGCGGUGCAGGAUGAACCCGCGGCCUAUCAGCUUGUUGGUGGGGUAAUGGCCUACCAAGGCGACGACGGGUAGCCGGCCUGAGAGGGCGACCGGUCACACUGGGACUGAGACACGGCCCAGACUCCUACGGGAGGCAGCAGUGGGGAAUAUUGCACAAUGGGCGAAAGCCUGAUGCAGCGACGCCGCGUGAGGGAUGACGGCCUU
rnacentral:rRNA from 1 species